GGCCGGGUGACUGAUUAUAGGUGAUAAACUGUAAAUUUAUUUAUGAAUUUUAUUCUCCGACCA
rnacentral:tRNA from 1 species